GUGGCGAACGGGUGAGUAACACGUGGACAACCUGCCUCAAGGCUGGGGAUAACAUUUGGAAACAGAUGCUAAUACCGAAUGAAACUUAGUGUCGCAUGAUACGAAGUUAAAAGGCGCUUUGGCGUCACCUAGAGAUGGAUCCGCGGUGCAUUAGUUAGUUGGUGGGGUAAAGGCCUACCAAGACAAUGAUGCAUAGCCGAGUUGAGAGACUGAUCGGCCACAUUGGGACUGAGACACGGCCCAAACUCCUACGGGAGGCUGCAGUAGGGAAUCUUCCACAAUGGGCGAAAGCCUGAUGGAGCAACGCCGCGUGUGUGAUGAAGGCUUUCGGGUCGUAAAGCACUGUUGUAUGGGAAGAACAGCUAGAAUAGGGAAUGAUUUUAGUUUGACGGUACCAUACCAGAAAGGGACGGCUAAAUACGUGCCAGCAGCCGCGGUAAUACGUAUGUCCCGAGCGUUAUCCGGAUUUAUUGGGCGUAAAGCGAGCGCAGACGGUUGAUUAAGUCUGAUGUGA
rnacentral:rRNA from 1 species